rnacentral:rRNA from 1 species
AGCGCAGGCGGACCGGCAAGUUGGAAGUGAAAUCCAUGGGCUCAACCCGUGAAUUGCUUUCAAAACUGCUGGCCUUGAGUAGUGCAGAGGUAGGUGGAAUUCCCGGUGUAGCGGUGGAAUGCGUAGAUAUUGGGAGGAACACCAGUGGCGAAGGCGCCUUUCUGGACUGUGUCUGACGCUGAGAUGCGAAAGCCAGGGUAGCGAACG